GAAAAAAAUGACUAGGUAUCCCCCCUUACCCCCGUCACUGUCCAAUUCUUGUUUUUAAACGAGAGAAGUGUUACACCUGGUGGAGAGAGAUUGUAAGACAGAAAUAGUUGCUUAAUGCGUGCUGUACGUUACGGCAAGACACGUCACGAUGUAACGGAGGGUCAGUUUUUUUCAACUUUUUUCCAAUACUAUAGGGCCAUUACCAUGUCGAUCAACACUUGAAUAGAAACGUAGUUCACACCACAGAUCUUGAAGUCAACAGAUUCGCUACAGUCCCAUUAAUUUUCUUUGCAGCCUCUUUGAAUGUCGCGGUUGCGCACAUUUGUACGGAAGGGGGUGAGUUGAUGUUCCAUGUCAGAUAGUCAAGUACUGUAACGUAAUACAUUUUGUUGACAGAUUUGUUUUUGUAAUGUUUUGUUUGCUCCACCUCAUUUAGCUAGACUGAAAUUGACAUGGUUACUGUUUGCUGAAAAACAAAUGUCCCUGUAUUUGCUGUGUGUGUGUGUUGGCGAAGCAUACAAGAGAGGUAGCUUGUUAAUGCCAACUGAUAUAUUUGGGUUCAGUUGUCUUCAGGAUGAUAUCUAUAUCCCCGAAAAGGAUUUCAUCCUGGAGGAGACUGUGCAGGAGGCAGAGGAGGUACUUGCAAAUGCAUGUUAUUUCUAAGGCUAUUGUUUAUUUCAAGUACAGUAUAUGCAGUGAUUAAUGAAUAUAACUAUAGCCUAAUAUAUGCCUUAAUUGUUUUCUACCAACAGGAAAGAAUGGUUAGUACAGCAUGCCAAACUGACCCCUGGGUGCCAGAGUGUUCCUGUGAUGCGGUGGAAAAGAGGUCCACCGGGACCAUCACUAAAGAAUCACAAUCAUCACAGUGCAAGCCAAGAUAUAUCAAUCACUUCGGGGGAGUGGGCUGGUGUUCCAAAUAUGGAGAAGGAGAAGGCCAUUCAACAGCGAAUUCAAAGAUACACCCAUCCAUAAAGGGAAUCGGAGUGGAAUUGCUUUUCCACUUAUUUUUUUUUACCGUUUCAACAGAUGUGCUACCUUGUCCCGGUCCUGAUGUUUCGACUCUCUCUCUCAACCUAUGAAUGCUCAGCUAUGAGGUGGAGAGGGAGUAAGCUCAUGAGAAAGCAGAAUGCUGCCAGACCACCACAGAACCCUAGAGGUGUUACAGUCAAUGUAUGAACUGGAUAUUGUAUAUGAAUUGCCCCUUUAUAUCAAUGACUCUAACAAAAUAGUUGGUUUGUUCAGCAAAUGCUAACACGGCAUUGGUGAGGAAAGGUACAUAAUGUAUUUAUUGUCAUCUCGCUGUCAGGCCACUGCAUGCUGUGACAAAGGCCUGGAUGGUGACACAUCUGCUUUGAUUUGCCUGACUGAAUACUGGGGUCUUCAGUGCUACCUUCCCUUUGAUUACAGUAAGAGUCUCCUUAUCUGUUUUGUAGCCAUUUAACUUGUACUGUAUGUAACCACUCAAAUUCAUACAAACUGCUACGAACACAAGAACUGACUUAUG
rnacentral:lncRNA from 13 species